rnacentral:tRNA from 1 species
GGUGGGUUGGCCGAGCGGUCAGGCGCUGGCCUGCAAAGCCAGUUAGCGGGGUUCGACUCCCCGACCUACCUCCA